rnacentral:lncRNA from 1 species
CUCUAUAUUAUGUGUGUUCUCCCCAUCUUUUCGUAUAUUGUGCUCCGAGCGGGGACCACCUUGAUACCCCCAUUUAGAAUGUUAGUUUAGAACCUUCACACCUCACAACAUUAGUCGCAAACCACAAAGGAAGCCAUUAAUGAGCGCUCCCCUGGGCGGCCGCCAUUCAUACAGCCGAACACCAGCCAGGGGGAGCAUUUGUGGAUUUAUUCCCGACUCAUUCGUUUCCUGAACGAGGACCUCCCCAGUGCCCCAUUAGAACAUUCGCACCAAUUAAUCAGAACGUUCUCAAAUGCAACAUAAGUGUUAAACCGCAAGGGAAGUAAUUAAUAAGUGCCCCCCUGGGGGGCAUGGCCUGACAGCCGAUGAGUCCGGUCGAGCUUUGCUAGAGCUCCGCUCCACCGGCACCAUAAGCUACAAUUAGAGACCUCUAUUUGGGCGAACCCUUCUUCCCUGAUACCCUAAUAUGGAACGGAGACCCCCCAAGAAGCAGGCUAAGAGGGCCACGGAGCCCGGGGGUUCCGUUCUGGACCUCCUUACAGCGCAUCGUCACGGCAGGGCAGGCAGCCAAGAUGGCGACGGAGGCUCCGUUCACUCCUCGCCUGGCGCCGAUAGAGCUGCCCUGUCUGCGGAUCAGAGCGAUAUAAUCGCAAAACUCUACGGCCAUACUUCAGGCUGAUAUCUCCGCCCUGGGAGAGCGCACAGCCAAAUUAGAAGACCGCAUGGAGGCGACCACCCAGGCCCACAAUGGGGUAGCCGAUAGGGUUAACCGCAUGACCACUCAUGUGGUCGACAUGGACCUGGCCCUGGAGGAUAUCACUAACCGCUCUAGGAGGAAUAAUCUUCGCCUGAGGGGCGGAGGAAGAUCUGCAAGAGCUCUUGCUCUCAAUUUUUAAGCCUCUCCUUCCGAACAUCCCGGAGGAACAGUGGCAUAUUGAGAGGGCACAUAGAGCGAUGAAAACGCUGAGGACAGAUGCAAACACCCCGAGGGAUGUUAUAAUAAACUUCCUCUAUUUCAAGACAAUGGAAGCCUUGAUGAAGAAGGGCAGGGAUGGGCCUAUCCGGCACGACGGAGCCCUGAUCUUUCUCUUCCAGGACCUGGCCCCCUCGACGCUACAGAGGAGGAGGGACUGGCGGCCUAUCACUGGGGCUCUGCGUGGAGCGGGCCUGAAAUAUGCAUGGGGCUUCCCCUUUAAAUUGAUGGUGUUUCGCGACGGCAGAGCCCACAUAUUGUCGCCUGGAGGAGACCCGAAGCGUCUGUUCCAGGGUCUGGGAAUUCCACCACCCCCAGACCUUCCCGACCUAGCGAUGGGACCGGAGGAGCUUCCACACCUUCAGGCAGAGUGGCGCGGAGUGGGAUCUAGGAGCCAGCUCUGAUCGUCUGCGGUAUCGUAUACCACCUUCUGCCUCCUUGCCCCUAUUUUUUCUCCCCGUAUGUAGCCGGGCAUUUUUGUUGUUUGUGGGGUGGGGGCUCGGGUAUGGGUUUUUCUGGAUGGCAUGCUACGUCCGUUUCUUUUUGAUGUGGCGGCCGUCCGCCACCUGAGGGUUGAUGCGGGAGAUUUUUCCUCUUAGGGAUACUGGGGUCAUGGCUCUUAUUGCUUGGGAGGGGGUUUGGGGUCACGGGUUAUGGCAUGUUUUUUUUUUCGGGACCCUGUUCUCUUUUAUUCCCCUUUGCCCCCUAUAAAGCGGCCUGGUCCCGCCUGCCCGGUUCCUUCUGUGGCCCCCGGGUCGCAGGGAUGGAUAGUGGGCUCUGCCUCUCUGGAGUCGAAACUCUUCCCCUCGGGGCUAGGCCUCUGGGGCCUCAUGUCCCCUUCUGACAAGGACGGGCGUGGGGAUAUCCAUACGGAUACCUGAAGAAUAAGUUCUUCCUCUGUUUUCUUUUGACAAUGCUGCUCUGUUGUGAAAAUUGCAUACUAUGUUGUUCUUUUUUUUUUUUCUUUCCUUUUUAUAUGUAUUAUUUAUUAUUAUUAGCGACCUGGGGUUUGCAGGGCAUGUUGCUCGUUUAUCCCUCCACUGGGUGUAACUAUGUGUAAAAAGCAAAUAGGGAAAAAUACACAAAUCAUAAACAAAAGAAAGUGAGAAGUAAAAAUAACAGAUGGACAAGAGGACAGGUAAAAUAAAGGGAAAAAUAAAGGAAAAACAAGAAGCAAAAGAUCAAAAAAAAAAAGGAAAAAAAAGAGAGGAAAAAAGAGGGGAAAAAUAAAACAAAAAAAAGAAUAAAAUCAGAAAAUAAAAAGAACACACACUCUGAAACAGGAACAUGCAGCCACCACACCGACAAAAUAUAGAUAUACAAAAGGGGAUAAAGUUGACCGAGACACGUGGAGAUUUCGUGUUAAUGGGGGAUGGGGGAGGGAGUGUUCACGGUCACUCUGCAACUGGGGCCAGUGGGGCAGGGGGUGGGAAGGGGUGGGGGGUAGUAAGGGCACUGGACGAGGGAGUAGAGUGUAACCCAAAAGUGAUACCUCAAUUCCCUUAUCUUUGUAAGUUAAGCUGCACUAUUGCGACAGGUUCAAAACUAUGAAAAGUUCAUAACUGGUAAUAGAUGUUCGAUAUUGCUAACAAAUAGUAUCCCGACCCGAGCUCUUUUCAACUAUGGCUGGCCGCCCACGGGGGUCAUAUGACAUUUCUACCGCUAUUUUAGGGCGUUAUUGGGGACAUGGUUCAGAUGGCCUUAUUUAUUGAGCUUCCUGGGCUCUCGCCCGAGACCCCUAUUUCUUAUGUACAGGUGGGCGGUUUGGGAAAGCGGGAGGGGCUCUCCGUGGGUGGCUUGCUAGCCGCGGGGUCGCUUCCUGUGCGGCUGCUUGCCCCCGCUGGCCGGUCCAGAGUUCCUCUCUGAGGGGCCUGGCCGGCGGGGGUGACUGCCCGCCCGGGGGGCGAUCCUCGUGGUGGUUGGGGGGCCUGACGUGCCUUGAAUAAGCUGCUGUAGGGGAGUAAUGUGGGCGGCUAGUUCUAUUCCUACCUCUAUUCUUACCCCUAUCUUUAGUUUGAUUUGUUUGGACCCUUAUAUCAUUCUUUUGCGCUCUAGCCUUGGAUAAGGUUAGAUUGGGCGUCAGAUUCCCCGCAGAUGGGUUCGCACAUAUCCCCUCUCUUUACCUGAUCUAAGACCGCAGUGGACGGGCAGCGAGCGCCACGUGUCCAGAGUAAAUGGACUGCAAGUGACGGGGGAGACUAGACGUUUAUUAAGAUAUGACCAUGGUCGUACUGACAGGGGGAAAUGGGGGAGGCUGGGUAGAGGGGACAGGGUUGGGGAUUUCCCAGGGCGCAGGGAAGAAUGUUAGAAAUGGAACAGUAACUUUCUUCACUAAAAUAUGAAAAUUGAAAUAAAUUGAAAUAAUAAGGUUUCAAAACACAAGAAACACGUUACGGGGAGGAGGGAGCAAGUGAGGAACACAACCAGAACCCGAAUUUAUUACACCUUAGUUCAGCACGUUAAGAAUCGAUUAUCACUGCAGAAUAUCUCCUUUUGUAAAUAUAACACCUUGUAACAAUUAAUACGUAAGGCAUGUAGCCUCUAUGAUUGCCCUGUUGUUUUACUCUGCUUUCGCUCCAUUUUGAUUGUUUCGGACUCACUGCCUCACUGUGCUACUGUUAUUGACUGUUGGGGUUUUAUUGAAAGCCGUUUAAAGAGGCUCCACAGGGAGGUAGAGGGGAGGGGUCUUUACCUAGCGGGUGUGGACUGUAAUGCUAAAAGAUACGGAGAGUGCACAUCCACUAUCACAUGACUGGGCCUGAGGGGGGUGGUGGUAUGGCGGUGAGGCUCCUGGGCAGAGCCAGAACUAAUGGAGGGUGAGGGAGAGGUGCCCAUAGACUAACUAAUACGAUUACACUGCCUGAUAGCACAGAGGUCUGAGUAUCACAUAAGUGGUGCCUAGGUGGAAGAGCUCAGGAUUCCAUUGUUCCUCCCAACGUUGAUCGUGGCAGGGCAGUGGGAUGACGUUCCCCAUAUCAUUCUGGCAUCUGAUAAGACCAGAAAUUCUGCGCUUCGGACUGUGUCCGGAUGCUGUUUUUUUGUUCUAUUUUGUCUUCCUUUUUCUCCUUAUUUUCUUCCUCUUCCUAUUCUCUGGAGGGAUGGUGGGGGCGGGGGCCUAUCAAUAGGGUUACCAUGGAACCACGACAGGGGUCGAGUCGCGAACGGUGGUAUCGGAGACAUUUACAGGGCCGUAACUAGUCAGCCUGAUGGAGAUUAAGAUAUUAUCUCUGAACGUUAAGGGCUUGAACGCCCCAAGGAAGCGCAGACUCCUAUUCAAAGAACUAAGAAGAAUGAAAUCGGACAUCGCGUUUAUCCAGGAGACCCAUUUGCCUAAACAGGCCAAGUUCAGGUUGAAAGACCAUGCUUUUGUUGGUUCCUACGAAGCUAGGUCCCAUCGCAAACGCUACGGGGUGGCGAUCCUUAUAAAAAGUAGUUGCCCCUUCCGGGAAACGCAUUACGAAGCGGACACGGAAGGACGUUUCGUCAUUGUCUCGGGGGUCCUACAUUCACAUGCCAUUCACUUAGUUAACAUCUACGCACCGAACCAACCGGACUCGGGGUUUUGGAAAAUGAUCCAGGAGAAAAUAUCUGGGCUGCCUCACGGAAUGUUAUUCUUGGGAGGAGAUUUCAACGCUGCCCCGAGCCCCGCCAUAGAUAGGAGUUCGCGGACGGGUACCCCUAGGUCACAGGGUAGGGGCGGUCAGGAUCGCCUACUUAAGGCCUUCAUAGCUGAAGCGGGGUUGGUGGAUAUAUGGAGAGCCCAGCACCCAGGGGUAAGAGACUAUACUUUCUACUCGGCCCCCCAUGGAACGUAUUCCAGGAUUGACCUUUUCCUGACUAAUGCAGCGGGCAUGUCCCGAACAGCCGGAUCACAGGUGGGCAAUAUAACUUGGUCAGAUCACGCCGAUAUAUCCAUCACGCUGGGCAACCUCUGCGUUGCUUCGCCGUGGACGUGGAAACUAAACUCGUCAUUGUUUCGUCACCCGGACAUCUUGGAACAGACUAGGAAGGGAAUUGUAGACUACUUUGAGUGGAACACCACCCCUGACGUGAGCGCAAGCACGAUCUGGGCGGCCCAUAAAGUGGUCAUUAGGGGGACUUUGAUCAAACUGGCCACCAGACAAAAGAAACUGAAACACCAGCAACUGGAAUCUUUGCUGGGCCAACUCAGCACCCUGGAACAUAAGCACCAAACGGCGCCAUCAGCAAACAUCUUCGCGCAAUUGGAAGCAGCACGUAGGAACAUCCGCACUUUACUAUUAGAUGACACGGCAAAAGCCAUGACCUGGUCGAAACGGACUUUUUUCGAAAAGGCGAACAAAAUGGACACCCUUUUAGCAAGAACGCUUAGGCCAAGGCAAGGAAGGACUCACAUAACGGCGAUCAAACAUCCUGAUGGCACGACAAGAACGGGACCUGUGGAGAUUGCUAAGAUUUUCAAAGACUUCUACGGAAAGUUGUAUAACCACACUCCGGAUGGAAGUCCGCACGGGAUACGCGAGGAGGAAUAUAUCAUACGAUACCUAGAAGGCUUAGGGUUGGAUAAAUUGAGUGAGGCAACACGUUCUCUGGCAGCGGACAUAUCGGAAGAUGAAGUUGACAAGGCCAUCUCGAAUCUAAAUGGCAACAAGGCACCGGGACCAGAUGGUUUCGACGGCUCAUACUAGAAACAUAGAAACAUAGAAACAUAGAAUGUGACGGCAGAUAAGAACCAUUCGGCCCAUCUAGUCUGCCCAAUUUUCUAAAUACUUUCAUUAGUCCCUAGUCUUAUCUUAUAGUUAGGAUAGCCUUAUGCCUAUCCCACGCAUGCUUAAACUCCUUUACUGUGUUAACCUCUACCACUUCAGCUGGAAGGCUAUUCCAUGCAUCCACUACCCUCUCAGUAAAGUAAUACUUCCUGAUAUUAUUUUUAAACCUUUGUCCCUCUAAUUUAAGACUAUGUCCUCUUGUUGUGGUAGUUUUUCUUCUUUUAAAUAUAGUCUCCUCCUUUACUGUGUUGAUUCCCUUUAUAUAUUUAAAUGUUUCUAUCAUAUCCCCCCUGUCUCGUCUUUCCUCCAAGCUAUACAUGUUAAGAUCCUUUAACCUUUCCUGGUAAGUUUUAUCCCGCAAUCCAUGAACCAGUUUAGUAGCCCUUCUCUGAACCCUCUCUAAGGUAUCAAUAUCCUUCUGAAGAUACGGUCUCCAGUACUGUGUACAAUACUCCAAGUGAGGUCUCACCAGUGUUCUGUACAAUGGCAUGAGCACUUCCCUCUUUCUACUGCUAAUACCUCUCCCUAUACAACCAAGCAUUCUGCUAGCAUUUCCUGCUGCUCUAUUACAUUGUCUGCCUACCUUUAAGUCAUCAGAAAUAAUCACCCCUAAAUCCCUUUCCUCAUAUGUUGAGGUUAGGACUCUAUCAAAUAUUCUGUACUCUGCCCUUGGGUUUUUACGUCCAAGAUGCAUUAUCUUGCACUUAUCCACAUUAAAUGUCAGUUGCCACAAUUCUGACCAUUUUUCUAGUUUACCUAAAUCAUUUGCCAUUUGGCUUAUCCCUCCUGGAACAUCAACCCUGUUACAUAUCUUAGUAUCAUCAGCAAAAAGACAUACCUUACCAUCAAGACCUUCUGCAAUAUCACUAAUAAAAAUAUUAAAGAGAAUGGGUCCAAGUACAGAUCCCUGAGGUACCCCACUGGUGACAAGUCCAAGCUUCGAAUAUAUUCCAUUAACUACAACCCUCUGUUGCCUGUCACUCAGCCACUGCCUUACCCAUUCAACAAUAUUGGAAUCCAAACUUAAAGAUUGCAGUUUAUUGAUAAGCCUUCUAUGUGCAACAGUGUCAAAAGCCUUACUGAAAUCUAGGUAAGCAAUGUCUACUGCACCACCCUGAUCUAUAAUUUUAGUUACCCAAUCAAAAAAAUCAAUAAGAUUAGUUUGGCAUGAUCUCCCUGAAGUAAACCCAUGUUGUCUCUGAUCUUGAAAUCCAUGUGUUUUUAGAUGUUCAUCAAUCCUAUCCUUUAACAUGGUUUCCAUCACUUUCCCCACUACUGAAGUAAGGCUUACUGGCCUAUAGUUGCCCGACUCCUCCCUAUUACCUUUCUUGUAAAUGGGCACAACAUUCGCUAACUUCCAAUCUUCUGGGACUACUCCUGUUAACAAUGAUUGGUUAAAUAAAUCUGUUAAUGGUUUUGCUAGUACACCACUAAGCUCUUUUAAUAGCUUUGGGUGUAUUCCAUCAGGUCCCAUUGACUUAUUUGUCUUUACUUUUGACAGUUGAAAUAGAACCUCUUCCUCUGUAAACUCACGUGUAAUAAAUGACUCAUUUAUCCUUUUUCUCAACUGAGGUCCCUUUCCUUCAUUUUCAUCUGUAAAUACAGAACAAAAAUAUUCAUUGAGGCAGUCAGCUGACCUUUAUCCUCUUCUACAUACCUUCCUUCUUUUGUUUUUAAUCUAACUAAUCCUUGUUUUACUUUUCUUUUCUCAUUUAUGUAUCUAAAAAAUGUUUUAUCCCCCUUUUUUACUGACUGUGCUAUUUUCUCUUCUGUGUGUGAUUUGGAAGCUCUUAUAACUUGCUUAGCAUCUUUCUGCCUAAUCUUAUAGAUCAUUUUGUCUCCCUCACUCUGGGUUUUUUUAUAAUUCCUAAAUGCUAACUUUUUGUUUUUAACUAUUUUGGCCACAUCUGCGGAGUACCACAGUGGUUUCUUGAAUUUUUUGCUUUUACUGACAAGCCUAAUGCAAUUUUCUGUUGCCUUCAAUAGUGCAACUUUUAAAUAAUCCCAUUUCUCUUGGACUCCAUUUAAAUUGCUCCAGUCUGAUAAUGACUCCUCUACCCAUAUUCUAAUUUUAGAAAAGUCUGUUUUUCUAAAGUCUAAAACUUUUGUUUUUGUGUGGUGUGACUCAGUCACUGUUCUUAUAUUAAACCACACUGACUGAUGAUCACUGGAUCCUAAACUUUCACCUACAGUAAUAUCUGAUACCAAAUCUCCAUUUGUUAACACUAAAUCUAGUAUGGCCUCUUUACGAGUUGGCUCCUCAACAACUUGUUUUAGAGACAAUCCCAGUAGGGAGUUUAGAAUAUGUGUGCUCCUGGCACAAGUAGCUAAUUUUGUUUUCCAAUUUACAUCAGGAAGAUUAAAGUCACCCAUGAUGAUAACUUUCCCCUUCAUUGUCAUUUUAGCUAUUUCCUCAACUAGUAGAUUAUCUAACUCUUCAAUUUGUCCAGGGGGCCUAUAAAUCACACCUACACGAGUUACUGUGCGAUUACCAAAUUCUAACGUAGCCCAAACGGACUCUAUGUUUGCCUCACUAACUUUUAUUAGGCUAGAUUUUAUGCUAUCCUUCACAUACAAGGCCACCCCUCCCCCUUUCUUGCCUUCCCUAUCUUUCCUAUAUAAAGAGUACCCUGGUAUUGCUAUGUCCCAGUCAUUUUCUCAUUGUACCAUGUCUCAGUAACAGCGACUAAAUCUACACUAUCAGUUGCCAUUAUUGCCACAAGUUCAUGGAUCUUAUUCCCUAAACUGCGAGCAUUUGUAGACAUGACUCUACUACAAAACAUUUAGAGAAAAACUCACACCACAAUUGGCCCGACUUUUUGACAGCUUACGGCAGGGCGGACAACUGGCAUCUGAUAUGACACUGGCGACUAUAGUUCUCUUGCCUAAGCCCGGAAAGGACCCUCUAUACCCAGAGAACUACAGGCCCAUCUCAUUGAUCAAUCACGAUCUGAAGAUUUUGGCGAAAAUACAGGCCGACAGACUUAACCCGUUGCUGGUUUCUCUCAUCCAUGCAGGUCAGGUUGGGUUUAUCCCAAAUAGACAAUUGUUUGAAAAUACUAGGAGGAACGUGGAUCUGAUCUGGAAACAAAGGACAUCAAGGACCCCCACGUUAGUGGUAUCCUUAGACGCUGAAAAGGCGUUCGACAGAGUUCGGUGGCAAUUUCUUUUUCCAGUUCUGAAGUGCAUGGGCUUCCCAGAGGAAUACUUAACUACAACGAAAGCAAUGUAUGAUAACGUGCGGGCACAAGUACAGAUAACGGGUGCCCCGUUCCACCCAUUUCGGCUAUACAAUGGCACGAGACAGGGUUGCCCGCUCUCGCCCCUCCUUUUCGUUUUGGCGUUGGAGCCUCUACUUCACGCGAUACGUCAACAUCCAAACAUUAAGGGUGUAAGAGUGGGGGAUAAAGAUUUCAAGGUAUCAGCCUACGCGGACGACGUUCUCUUAACCAUCACGACUCCGUUAGAAUCGAUGACCGCACUUAAGGGCGUCAUUCUAGAAUACGGAGGACUAUCCGGUUAUAAAGCAAACAUCCAAAAGUCCAGUGCGCUCCCGAUAUGCCUGACACAAGAUGAAACAGCUAGGUUGCAGGAGGUAUACCAAAUCCGUAUGGAAACAGACUCCCUAAGGUACCUAGGGAUCAACAUAACGGCUGACCCAGAACGUCUAUAUGCAACUAAUUACGCCCCCAUGCUUAGAGCGCUGACGGAGGACCUAGACAAAUGGGUUGACAAACCCAUUUCCUGGAUCGGUAGGAUACAUUCUGUAAAAAUGAACAUCCUCCCGCGCUUACUGUUUCUUUUUCAGGCGCUACCCAUCCGAAUCACGAAGACACAAUUGCUUCCCUUGCAAAGAUCAAUAGGGAACUUUAUAUGGCAGAACAAGAGACAUAGAAUUUCCAAACAGGUACUGUAUAGGCGAAAAGAUAGAGGGGGCUUGGGCCUUCCGAACCUCUUCUUUUAUUACCUAGCAGCACAACUAACGCAGAUAGCCAUGUGGCAUUCCGCUCCUGAGGAGAGGCGGUGGGUGGAUAUCGAAUCUAUGAUGGUGGGGGUGGAUGUCCCCCAGUUCACAAUGUGGGUCCCCAGAGAAUACAGACCGGAAAUACGGAUAACAUGCCCAGCGAUCCUCAAUUCGAUACGCAUAUGGGACAUGUGUAACGCCAAAUAUAAGCUGGCAUCAUCCCCUUCUCCUAUGACCCCACUUCUUAGGAACAGAGAAUUCCCCCCUGGUAUGACCCCCAGGCACUUCCGCAACAUCGAACGUGCUGGACUGCAACGGUUGCAUCAGCUGUUUCAUAAUGGAGAGAUCGUUCAGUUCGCGGACCUUCAAUUGGGUAAUCACCUGACUCCAGCGGAUUUUUUCCGGUACAUCCAAAUACGAGACUUCGCCCAAAAACCAACCAUUAAAAAGGCUGCAAUGGAGACUCACACUUUCUACGAGAGAAUAUGUUCGGACGGGGCAACCCCCAAGGGGAUGAUCACAUUAUUGUACGCACACCUCAGUGAAGAAAAUGGAGAAUGGGGAAGACUAACGUAUACUGUCCAAUGGGAGAAUGACCUCGGUGAGACCUUGGAGGGGCUGGAGUGGCAAGAGAUUUGGGAGGCAAAUGCUAAGGUUUCAAUAUGUGUCACCCUACAGGCGUGGAAAACUAUGUUCCGAUGGUACACCACCCCAAUUCAAUUACAUAGGAUGCACAAACUAGACACAGAUGAUUGCUGGAGGGGUUGCGGAGACCAAGGAACGUAUUUACACAUGUGGUGGCGAUGCUCAAAGAUACGCGGAUUCUGGAAGUCUGUGGAGGAUUUAUUGAAGCAGAUAUUUGAUAAGCCUCUGAGGUUAGACCCCUGGACCUACUUAUUAAAUAGAUCUGUGGAUGGGUGGUCCACUCAGGAACAGAAAUUAGUACACAAGAUUACUUUGUGCACGCGUCGAGCGAUAGCGACAGCACGGCUCACUUCAGAGGGCCCGGAUUUCGCAGGGGUAAUCUCCAGAAUUAAAGAAUGUAGAAUUAUGGAUGAUUUGACAGCAAGGGUGAGGGGGACCACCGCAACAUUCCAAAAACUCUGGGAACCAUGGGACAAUAGCGUAUUUGGAUCGAGCGGAGAUUGAAGGCAUACCCCAACUGGUGCUGACCGCGACGAUAUAUCGCCGGUUGGGGUGCUGCCGCCAGCGGAGAGAUGGUGGGCCCGCCGUUUCCCCCCCAGUUCCCUCUUUUUCCUUUUCAGCCUGGACUAGGCACUACUCGUUCUCUCUCUAAUCCUUUUUACUUCCUCUUUUUCUUCCUUUUUCUCUCUUAUUUCAUCGUUUCAUGUGAUUUGUUUUUUCAGGCUAGACCAAUGAUUGGAGGAACAAGGUAACACACUUAGGAAGUUGAUCAGCAAAUAUGAUGGCUACUUAACUUUUGCAGAUUAGCCUGUACCUUUAUCUACCAUAAGUUUCCCCGACAAACGGAGAGAGCCAAUACUAAGUUACAAUUACAUGCAAACGACAACCACAACGAUUACCUUUUUCUUAUAUUAAAUUGUAAUUUAAUAGGCCUCUUUAUAUUAGCUCGAAAGUGACCGUAUAACUGUCGAAUUACCCGAUCAUUGAUGUAUAUCCUAGAAGGGGGUAAUUAAAAAAAAAAUUUAAAAACACCUCGAUAGACGGCAGGUGCCAGUAGAUUCAGUAAAUGGCGGAGCACACAUUGUCCUUGCCUUGUCUUUGUUGUUUACUCUUUGUGUUUUAUUUUCUCGGCAAACUUUGCAAUGUUCCCACAAUGUUGAACAUGUUGGCUUCUGCGUAAGCCUGAAAGUUGAUGUACACUUGCUGAUUCUAUUGAGUAAAAAUAAAGAAUUAAAAAAAAAAAAAUAAGU